AUGUCCCCAUGAGUUCCCUUUAACGCUUCAUUGUUAAUAUUCAAAUUACAUCUAUUUCGUCCUUAAAUGUUUGAUCGAUUUGUAUAUAACACUGAAGUGUUUGGGGGGACUCUUGGUGUCAU
rnacentral:pre_miRNA from 1 species